GUUCUUGAUAGUGGGCAGGGGUCUCCGAAGAGAGGGGUGGUGAGGGAGGAAAGAGCCCCUUCAGGAGAAGGAGGCCACCAUUGUGUGAAUUAGAUGAGGAAACAAGGAGUGCAUUCCCCAGCCCAGGAGCAGCUACAGAGAAGGCCCGCCUCUGAGUUGCCACCAGACGUACUGGUGAUAACUGGAGACGGACCUCCUCAGAUGACCUUCACGUGCGGUAGGGAUCGUGCAGAAGAAGGUGCUCUUAAGGUUAAGUUGAACUUCUGAGCCUUUUGGAGAAUGAACAGCUCAUGGUGACAGAAGGUUCUCAUUUCACCUCCUUGCUUCCAGAUUGCAUUGAGAAUCCCUGGUGCAUUCAUUAUGGGAUGAAAAAAGAGCUAAAUAGCAUGGCACUUGAAAAAGAAUUCCCAUCAGGCUGAGCCUUCUCAGUGGCCCCUCCUAGCUUGUGGAACAUGCUCUCCAUGGGAAUAAGAAGAUUCUCAUCCCCGGAGGCCUUCGGGAGAGCCAUAAAGACCCCCCUUUCAGCUUGGCUUUUAAUAAUAUGUAAGUGGUUUUAAUGGUUCUAAAUGAGUUUUAUGUUAAUGUUUUAAAUGGUUUAAUUUUAUGUUUUAUGCUAAUAUUUUAAAUGGCUUUAUUUCUAUUGUCAUCU